rnacentral:miRNA from 13 species
GCGCCAGCCCCUCGCACAAACC